rnacentral:rRNA from 1 species
GUGGGGAAUAUUGGGCAAUGGAGGAAACUCUGACCCAGCGACGCCGCGUGCGGGAUGAAGGCCUUCGGGUUGUAAACCGCUUUCAGCAGGGAAGAAGCGAAAGUGACGGUACCUGCAGAAGAAGCACCGGCUAACUUAUGUGCCAGCAGCCGCGGUAAUACAUAGGGUGCAAGCGUUGUCCGGAAUUAUUGGGCGUAAAGAGCUCGUAGGUGGUUCGUCACGUCGGAUGUGAAAAUCUGGGGCUCAACCCCAGACCUGCAUUCGAUACGGGCGAGCUGGAGUUUGGUAGGGGAGACUGGAAUUCCUGGUGUAGCGGUGGAAUGCGCAGAUAUCAGGAGGAACACCAAUGGCGAAGGCAGGUCUCUGGGCCAAUACUGACACUGAGGAGCGAAAGCGCGGGGAGCGAACAGGAUUAGAUACCC